UACAGAGGGUGCUAGCGUUAAUCGGAUUUACUGGGCGUAAAGCGUGUGUAGGCGGUUCGUUAAGUCGGGUGUGAAAUCCCUGGGCUCAACCCGGGAAUUGCAUUCGAUACUGGCGAGCUAGAGUACGGUAGAGGGCGGCGGAAUUCCGGGUGUAGCGGUGAAAUGCGUAGAUAUCCGGAGGAACACCGAUGGCGAAGGCAACCGCCUGGGCCUGUACUGACGCUGAGGAGCGAAAGCCAGGGGAGCAAACGGG
rnacentral:rRNA from 1 species